CUGAACUAGAGAUUGGGCCCA
rnacentral:miRNA from 1 species